UUUUAGUUAGUACAACGGAGUUCUGGUCGAACGAUUCGUCAGAGGAUGAGAGCUUAGAAAAAGGGCCAGGAGCAGAAAACGUUUAAAAGCAAAAACAG